rnacentral:rRNA from 1 species
GACGAACGCUGGCGGCGUGCUUAACACAUGCAAGUCGAACGGUAAGGCCCCAGCUUGCUGGGGUACACGAGUGGCGAACGGGUGAGUAACACGUGGGUGACCUGCCCCGCACUUCGGGAUAAGCCUGGGAAACUGGGUCUAAUACCGGAUAGGACCGCACCGUGAGGGUGUGGUGGAAAGUUUUUCGGUGUGGGAUGGGCCCGCGGCCUAUCAGCUUGUUGGUGGGGUAAUGGCCUACCAAGGCGGCGACGGGUAGCCGGCCUGAGAGGGUGGACGGCCACAUUGGGACUGAGACACGGCCCAGACUCCUACGGGAGGCAGCAGUGGGGAAUAUUGCACAAUGGGCGGAAGCCUGUUGCAGCGACGCCGCGUGGGGGAUGACGGCCUUCGGGUUGUAAACUCCUUUCACCAUCGACGAAGGUUUUCUGACGGUAGAUGGAGAAGAAGCACCGGCUAACUACGUG